rnacentral:other from 1 species
UCAGCUCCAGCACGAGGCUAUUGGUGGCCAGCAGCCUUCGCUCUAGAGAGCAAUGCUGGAUCCCCGGGAAGAAAGAGCAUGGGGUGUGCUGAUUUAAAAACAGAAAAUGCAAACUUGGACUGAAAAUAUCCUUCGUCUUCCAAGCAAUCUGCUGAAGGGUUCCAAACUUACCUUAAUUUGGUGAGAAAAGAAGCUGCCCUAUUUUUCUUCUUCUUCUACAACUGGAAGCAGCCAUUCCCCCGAGCCACCACCAUG